rnacentral:rRNA from 1 species
CUUAAAUGAAUUGACGGGGACCCGCACAAGCGGUGGAGCAUGUGGUCUAAUUCGAAGCAACGCGAAGAACCUUACCAGGUCUUGACAUCCUUUGACAAUCCUAGAGAUAGGACUUUCCCUUCGGGGACAAAGUGACAGGUGGUGCAUGGUUGUCGUCAGCUCGUGUCGUGAGAUGUUGGGUUAAGUCCCGCAACGAGCGCAACCCCUAUUGUUAGUUGCCAGCAUUCAGUUGGGCACUCUAAUGAGACUGCCGGUGACAAACCGGAGGAAGGUGGGGAUGACGUCAAAUCAUCAUGCCCCUUAUGACCUGGGCUACACACGUGCUACAAUGGAUGGUACAACGAGCAGCAAGACCGCGAGGUCAAGCGAAUCUCUUAAAGCCAUUCUCAGUUCGGAUUGCAGGCUGCAACUCGCCUGCAUGAAGCCGGAAUCGCUAGUAAUCGCGGAUCAGCACGCCGCGGUGAAUACGUUCCCGGGUCUUGUACACACCGCCCGUCACACCACGAGAGUUUGUAACACCCGAAGUCGGUGAGGUAACCUUUAUGGAGCCAGCCGCCUAAGGUGGGACAGAUGAUUGGGGUGAAGUCGUAACAAGGUAGC